AUACGGAGGAUGCAAGCGUUAUCCGGAUUUAUUGGGUUUAAAGGGUGCGUAGGCGGGACUGUAAGUCAGGGGUGAAAUACUGCAGCUUAACUGUAGCAUUGCCUUUGAAACUGCCGUUCUUGAGUACAGUUGAGGUAGGCGGAAUGUGGUGUGUAGCGGUGAAAUGCAUAGAUAUACCACAGAACGCCGAUUGCGAAGGCAGCUUACUAAGCUGUUACUGACGCUGAGGCACGAAAGCGUGGGGAUCAAACAGGAUUAGAUACCCUGGUAGUCCACGCUGUAAACGAUGAUUACUGGUUGUUAGCGAUAUAAUGUCGGAGGCAAAGCGAAAGCGAUAAGUAUUCCACCUGGGGAGUACGCCGGCAACGGUGAAACUCAAAGGAAUUGACGGGG
rnacentral:rRNA from 1 species